CUUUCUUUGCUGGCGACCGGCGCACGGGUGAGUAACACGUAUCCAACCUGCCCCUUACUCGGGGAUAGCCUUUCGAAAGAAAGAUUAAUACCCGAUAGCAUAAUGAUUCCGCAUGGUUUCAUUAUUAAAGGAUUCCGGUAAAGGAUGGGGAUGCGUUCCAUUAGGUUGUUGGUGAGGUAACGGCUCACCAAGCCUUCGAUGGAUAGGGGUUCUGAGAGGAAGGUCCCCCACAUUGGAACUGAGACACGGUCCAA
rnacentral:rRNA from 1 species